rnacentral:snoRNA from 2 species
GCUGCACACUAUUAAAGCUCGGGGUGGAGGCCAGUCUUGGCCGGUGAACUUCUGAGUGUCGGAAGUGUGCUAUAUUAAUGGCAGGACUUUCGCUGACACCAGGAGAGCUUGCCUCUAUGACUGGAGUUGAUAGUGCUCUCUGCCACAUUC